UGGGGUUUUGCUCAUCAGUAGAGCACUCGCCUAGCACGUGGGAAGCUCUGGGUUCAAUCCUCAGCACCACAU
rnacentral:tRNA from 1 species